GGGUAAUCAGCUCAUUUAUUUCAUUGAUCAUAAGGCCUUUUAUAGGCAAAGUACACUAGCUUGCAGCUCAAGCCAACCAGUUGGCUAUGCAAGCCUGCAGGCAAGGCAAGGCAGGCCAGGCUUGGCACGCGCGCGCCCAUCUGCAGGCCAGCAGGCAUGGCUUGGCUCAGGCUGCAGCCAUUUCUUAAGGCACAAGCUAACCAGUCCUAACA
rnacentral:lncRNA from 1 species